GGUCUGUUGGUGUAAUGGUAACAUGCCUGGGUUCUAUGCAAGAAUUCGAUAAAACCCUCUUGUUCGAUUCAAGGCCAGGCCA